rnacentral:lncRNA from 1 species
AAAAAAAAAAGUGAUUUUGCAAUAUAGGAAUGCAGGACGGUAUUUGAUACAGCCCUAGUUUCUGGACUUAGGUGCUACCUUCAUUGUUGACUAUGACGCUUUAUUUAGGACUUUUGAUAACACACUAUCAUAAUCACUGAAAUUUCCAUUUUUGUUGAAAAUGGGGCUGGAAAAUUUAGUUGCACUUUGCUAAUUUAUUGCUGAAAGAUGAAUGGGCUUUUGUGAUUAUCAACAGCUAUUCAAAAUCACAAAUUUCCCCUUAAUCGUUGAAGAGCUCCUUUGCUAGAAGUCUAUCAUUACGAGUUAGAAUAUAAAUAGUGGGAGGACCAAUACCUUUUUAAUUGAUUUUAUAGAUUGGGUGAGAUUUGGUUGAGGGAGGGAGUAGUUUUUUGUAUGACCCAACUUGUUUUGGAACUUCCUUUGUCCAUUACUCAAAACAGACUACAAAACAGAGGUUUCUUCAAAAUCAAAGAGAAUGAGUGCACCUCCGAGGAGGGAUAGUGAUGUAGGACAACCCUAGGAUGGUUGCCUACAGUCAAGUAGAUGGACUAGGGUUUUUAUUUUUAAGGUGUAAAGAGAGGAACAAUGAAUAAAGUUUAUGGUAAAGAAAUAAAAAAUAAAUAAAAAAAUAGAGAGAAAGAAAAUACGAUGAAUAAAAGAUGGAAACCUUGUGUAUUUCAAAGUGCUAUUUUAGCACUUUUUGUUUAUAAUACACGCUUGCUUUACUCAUAAAAAAAAAUGGAAACCUUAGAAUCUCACUAAGGCCUUCUAGAAGUCACUUAUAAAAAAAAUAAAAAAUAAAAAUCUAAGGCCUUCUAGAAGUCUUACCUAGAAGAAAAUCAAUGAAGUCUUACCAUUAAGGAUUGCAACACUUGCAAAAAAAAAAAAAAAAAAACAUAAUGUUAUUAACAUCAAUAAAUUCAUUGCCUUGAUUUACAUCAAUUAGCCUUAUUUAUAGGUUUCUCUAAGAAAUUCAAAGUCUACUCGGAUUCUAAUAAUCUAUUAUGACUCUAGUUCUUAUUAUAACAUCCAAAGUCUAGGAUUCUAAUAACCUAAUAUAACUCUAAUUCUAAUCAUAUUAUAACCUAACUAGCUAAUUCUAAUUUUACUCUAACAAAUAUUAAUCCUAAUUU